rnacentral:misc_RNA from 1 species
GAUGAAGAACGUAGCGAAAUGCGAUAAGUAAUGCGAAUUGCAGAAUUUCCGUGAGUCAUCGAAUCUUUGAACGCACAUUGCGCCCACUGGUAUUCCGGUGGGCAUGCCUGUUCGAGCGUCAUUAUCCUCCCUCAAACCCCGGGUUUGGUGUUGGACCCAAGUUGUGUGAACAACUGGUCUUAAAGACAAUGACGGCGUCCGUGGGACCCUCGGUGCAACGAGCUUUUAGGAGCACGCAUCGAGUUGCAAGGACCUUCCGGGCCGGUCUCCUUUACUAUUUUACAAGGUUGACCUCGGAUCAGGUAGGAAUACUCGCUGAACUUAAGCAUAUCAAUAAGCGGAGGA